AGAAACUUAGGUUAAAUACCAAACCAAGAGCCUUCAAAGCCCUAAACAGAGGAUAAACCCCUAGUUUCUG
rnacentral:tRNA from 1 species